rnacentral:rRNA from 1 species
AGAGUUUGAUCCUGGCUCAGGAUGAACGCUGGCGGCGUGCCUAAGGUAUGCAAGUCGAGCGGUAAGGCUUCAACAGGUUAUUUAACCGUGUCCAGGGCGAACUUCUUUAGAAGUUCGCAUCCUCAAUAAAAGAUGAACGUUUUUCGUUCACCUCGCGUUGAGGUCGGAUAUCGGUUCCUCUGGCUAGAGGACAAAGGUUAAAUGACGUGUUGAAGUACACGAGCGGCGGACGGCUGAGUAACACGUAGGAAUGUACCCCACAGUGAGGGAUAAGCACCGGAGACGGUGUCUAAUACCGCAUAUGCUCUUCGGAGUAAAGUCUUCGGACGCUAUGGGAACGGCCUGCGCAUGAUUAGCUUGUUGGUGAGGUAAUGGCUCACCAAGGCGAUGAUCAUUAGCUGGUCUGAGAGGAUGAUCAGCCAGACUGGGACUGAGACACGGCCCAGACCCCUACGGGGGGCAGCAACUAGGAAUCUUCCACAAUGGACGAAAGUCUGAUGGAGCAACGCCGCGUGCAGGAUGAAGGCCUUCGGGUCGUAAACUGCUUUUUUCUGUGAUGAUAAUGACAGUAGCAGACGAAUAAGGAUCGGCUAACUCCGUGCCAGCAGCCGCGGUCAUACGGAGGAUCCAAGCGUUAUCCGGAAUUACUGGGCGUAAAGAGUUGCGUAGGCGGUUAAGUAAGUAGUGUGUGAAAUGAUGAGGCUCAACCUCAUGUCCAUGCACUAAACUGCUUUGACUAGAGAAUGGAAGAGGUCGCUGGAAUUCCUGGUGUAGGGGUGAAAUCCGUAGAUAUCAGGAGGAACACCGAUGGCGUAGGCAGGCGACUGGUCCAUUUCUGACGCUCAGGCACGAAAGCGUGGGGAGCGAUCGGGAUUAGAUACCCCGGUAGUCCACGCCGUAAACGAUGGAUGCUAGCUGUACGGAGUAUCGACCCUCUGUGUAGCAAAGCUAACGCGUUAAGCAUCCCGCCUGUGGAGUACGAGCGCAAGCUUAAAACAUAAAGGAAUUGACGGGGACCCGCACAAGCGGUGGAGUGUGUUGUUUAAUUCGAUGGUAAGCGAAGAACCUUACCCAGGUUUGACAUCCUGCUAAUCCACCCGAAAGGGAGGAGUGCCUUCGGGCCGCAGUGACAGGUGCUGCAUGGCCGUCGAAAGCUCGUGUCGUGAGAUGUUUGGUUUAGUCCAUCAACGAGCGCAACCCCUGUAGUUAGUUGGAUUUUUCUAGCUAGACUGCCUCGGUAACGGGGAGGAAGGAGGGGAAGACGUCAGGUCAGUAUUGCCCUUACACCUGGGGCUACAAACACACUACAAUGGCCGGUACAAAGGGCUGCCAACCCGCGAGGGGGAGCAAAUCCCAUCAAAGCCGGUCUCAGUUCGGAUUGCAGGCUGAAACUCGCCUGCAUGAAGCUGGAAUCGCUAGUAACGGUAGGUCAGCAUACUACCGUGAAUACGUUCCCGGGUCUUGUACACACCGCCCGUC